AGGGCCCCAAGAGUUCUCGGUCGCCCAGGCCUCCCUUGGAUGUCUAAACUGAGGAGGAGGAAGGGCUUGGCUGGAGGAGGAGGGGAAGGCCUGACGGACAAAAUCGAUCGGGCCCGCUCAACGUCUCGCUCUCAACACGGCAGGAUGCGAAGUCGAGCUUCAGGAACGAUACCCCGAGUCAUAAUCUUCAAACAAGUGCAUCGACUCGAGAAGAUCUCAGGCGAAGACCGUUCUAUCAGCGAGGAACUAAAAUUCAGAAUACGCCUCGCUUCGACGAGAACGCUCUAUCGAUCGGGAUUCAAGAUCUGACACCGGUGACAUUUAAAAGUUUGGGAAGUAAUAAAUCUGUGACUAUUAUGCAUGAACAUCCCAUGCAGUUAUUAGCAUGGUUAAUAUAGAAUGGAAGAGACAA